AUUGAACGCUGGCGGCAGGCCUAACACAUGCAAGUCGAACGGUAACAGGAAGCAGCUUGCUGCUUCGCUGACGAGUGGCGGACGGGUGAGUAAUGUCUGGGAAGCUGCCUGAUGGAGGGGGAUAACUACUGGAAACGGUAGCUAAUACCGCAUAAUGUCGCAAGACCAAAGAGGGGGACCUUCGGGCCUCUUGCCAUCGGAUGUGCCCAGAUGGGAUUAGCUUGUUGGUGGGGUAACGGCUCACCAAGGCGACGAUCCCUAGCUGGUCUGAGAGGAUGACCAGCCACACUGGGACUGAGACACGGUCCAGACUCCUACGGGAGGCAGCAGUGGGGAAUAUUGCACAAUGGGCGCAAGCCUGAUGCAGCCAUGCCGCGUGUAUGAAGAAGGCCUUCGGGUUGUAAAGUACUUUCAGCGGGGAGGAAGGGAGUAAAGUUAAUACCUGUGCUCAUUGACGUUACCCGCAGAAGAAGCACCGGCUAACUCCGUG
rnacentral:rRNA from 1 species